AUUGGCACGGCUGGUUACAGUGGUCAGUUGCAUUGGGAAGACGCAACCACUCUAUUAGCAUGAGAUACUGCAGAGUAAAGAUGGGGUUGGGCCCAAUAACUGUUAGGUGAGGGAUCCAAUGACGGCUUUGCUUAUGCGUUUGAACGGUGGGUCUGACUUAACUAAAAAAUGGGGCAAAUAAUAGUCAAGUGAGGCCUACAGGACUUAGAGACCGAUCACUGCAAUUUGCUUAAGAAGCAUUGGACAAGAGUUGUCCACUCAUCGGUUUGCAUAUCACCAAUAACUGUUAGGUAAGGUGGUACGUUAAACUGGUGGAACCGCAGUACCCACUUGAAAUUUUUUGUCGCAGUAGGUUUCCGUUUCUCUACCCGAGGAGUGUAAGAGACUCGAGAAAAUAGUGGGGGGCUAAAUUGUUUUUAAAAUUCCUAAAACAAAAUUUUAAAACAAAUAAAAAUAUCUAAUUUUAAAUCUUUACUCUCUACAGAACAAAAUGUCCGCUUCCAAUCCUCUCUCUCGUAUUCUUGAAACAAAUUGCUUAAUUGGAACUAACUAU
rnacentral:lncRNA from 1 species